CCUCCGCUCGGCGAGCAGAGUGCCGAGCAGCUGCUGGUUUCCUCAUGAGGCUGAGGAAUGAGAGCCACACUGCUGACUCACUGGAGGGAUAGUUUCUGAUUCUUGGAACAAAAAGAAAAAUACCUUGAAUAGGAACUCAAAGGGGCAGAUCGUGCUGUACAUGAGCAAAGGAGGCCACAGUUCACUCCCCAGACCCUAAGGGCACUGUGUGGGAU
rnacentral:lncRNA from 1 species